CAAGUCGAGCGAUGAAGCACCUUCGGGUGUGAAUUAGCGGCGAACGGGUGAGGAACACGUGAGAAAUCUGCCUUCAACACUGGGAUAACUCCGGGAAACCGGGGCUAAUACCGGAUAUGAAACCUGCGGGCAUCCGCGGGUUUGGAAAGUUUUUCGGUUGAAGAUGAUCUCGCGGCCUAUCAGCUUGUUGGUGAGGUAAUGGCUCACCAAGGCGACGACGGGUAGCCGGCCUGAGAGGGCGACCGGCCACACUGGGACUGAGACACGGCCCAGACUCCUACGGGAGGCAGCAGUGGGGAAUAUUGGGCAAUGGAGGAAACUCUGACCCAGCGACGCCGCGUGCGGGAUGAAGGCCUUCGGGUUGUAAACCGCUUUCAGCAGGGAAGAAGCGAAAGUGACGGUACCUGCAGAAGAAGCACCGGCUAACUAUGUGCCAGCAGCCGCGGUAAUACAUAGGGUGCAAGCGUUGUCCGGAAUUAUUGGGCGUAAAGAGCUCGUAGGUGGUUCGUCACGUCGGAUGUGAAACUCUGGGGCUUAACCCCAGACCUGCAUUCGAUACGGGCGAGCUUGAGUAUGGUAGGGGAGUCUGGAAUUCCUGGUGUAGCGGUGGAAUGCGCAGAUAUCAGGAGGAACACCAAUGGCGAAGGCAGGACUCUGGGCCAUUACUGACACUGAGGAGCGAAAGCGUGGGGAGCGAACAGGAUUAGAUACCCUGGUAGUCCACGCCGUAAACGGUGGGCACUAGUUGUGGGGACCUUCCACGGUCCCUGCGACGCAGCUAACGCAUUAAGUGCCCCGCCUGGGGAGUACGAUCGCAAGAUUAAAACUCAAAGGAAUUGACGG
rnacentral:rRNA from 1 species